CUGAGUUCGGCUGCUUUUUGGGGCUGGCUCUAGCAGGAGCUCACUGGGUGGCCUUCCAGAGCUCACUUCCUCUCUCUGGCUUUGGUCUCCUCCUCUGUAAAAGGAGGUCCGAAUUAAGCACUCUUCACAGUACCCGGCUGUGCACUUGUCCCCAGAAGUUUCUCUACCGGCUCCAGGGCUGUCUUCAGCCAAUCAACAAAUGUUUCAUGUGGUUCACCCUGUGCGGGGAACCUGGAACCCCCUGACGGGAAUCCCUGUGCUUCCCAAAUGCAGAGGGGCCUCCCUUCCCGAAUGUGAAGGCCAGCAAAAACCCCAAGAGAAACUACUAGGAAUAUCUUCUAUCUCUCAACUCCCUUCAUUCUGGAGCCAGGGCAUUUGCACUUUGAAAUUCUUUUUCAUUGAUUCUGUACCCAAUGGAACCCGGGUUAAGUAAGAGGAGGGAGUAUAUAAUCCAAGUUGAGUCAAGGCAGUAAACACUGGAGAAGAUAAAUAACAAUGCAAGGGGCAGAGAAUGGGCCCUGGAAGGAGUGAUUAAUUACCAAACAGCCGGUUCCAAAAACAAGCGGGCUGCGGCAAGAGGGAGAGAUCCGAGGAGUCAGGCCCCGUGUCCAGAAGACUUUUUGCAAAUGAAAGCGCUGGUGACAAGCUCUGAAAGCCGGCAAGGCAUGAACUGGCCAAGGGGAGGGUACCAGAUGGCAAAGGUCAGUAGAUCAGGUUCCAGGGCACAUCUCUCAACCAGCACCACCGCAGGCCUCAGACCUGGCUGCACAACGGAAUCACCAGGUGGUUGUUGUUGUUGCUGUUGUUGUUGUUGUUUUCAAACAGAGUUUCACUCUGUCGCCCAGGC
rnacentral:lncRNA from 1 species